GGGGAUUUAGCUCAAUGGUAGAGCGCUUGCCUAGCAAACGCAAGGCCCUGGGUUCGGUCCCCAGCUCCG
rfam:Rattus norvegicus chromosome 12, whole genome shotgun sequence.